rnacentral:rRNA from 1 species
CCUACGGGCGGCUGCAGUGGGGAAUAUUGGACAAUGGGGGGAACCCUGAUCCAGCCAUGCCGCGUGUGUGAAGAAGGCCCUCGGGUUGUAAAGCACUUUCAGUGAGGAAGAACGCCUGGUGGUUAAUACCCAUCAGGAAAGACAUCACUCACAGAAGAAGCACCGGCUAACUCCGUGUCAGCAGCCGCGGUAAUACGGAGGGUGCGAGCGUUAAUCGGAAUUACUGGGCGUAAAGCGCGCGUAGGUGGCUUGAUAAGCCGGUUGUGAAAGCCCCGGGCUCAACCUGGGAACGGCAUCCGGAACUGUCAAGCUAGAGUGCAGGAGAGGAAGGUAGAAUUCCCGGUGUAGCGGUGAAAUGCGUAGAGAUCGGGAGGAAUACCAGUGGCGAAGGCGGCCUUCUGGACUGACACUGACACUGAGGUGCGAAAGCGUGGGUAGCAAACAGGAUUAGAUACCCUUGUAGUC